rnacentral:rRNA from 1 species
AUUGAACGCUGGCGGAAGGCCUAACACAUGCAAGUCGAACGAGUGGCGGCCGGGUGAGUAAUGUCUGGGAAACUGCCCGAUGGAGGGGGGUCACUACAGGAAACGGUAGCUAAUACCGCAUAGCAUCCGGUAUGACCAGAUGGGGUGAGCUAGUAGGUGGGGUAACGGCUCACCUAGGCGACGAUCCCUAGCUGGUCUGAGAGGAUGACCAACCACACUGGAACGGAGACACGGUCCAGACUCCUACGGGAGGCAGCAGUGGGGAAUAUUGCACAAUGGGCGCAAGCCUGAUGCAGCCAUGCCGCGUGUAUGAAGAAGGCCUUCGGGUUGUAAAGUACUUUCAGCGAGGAGGCGUUACUCGCAGAAGAAGCACCGGCUAACUCCGUGCCAGCAGCCGCGGUAAUUC